rnacentral:rRNA from 1 species
CCUACGGGGGGCAGCAGUGGGGAAUAUUGGACAAUGGGGGGAACCCUGAUCCAGCCAUGCCGCGUGUGUGAAGAAGGCCCUCGGGUUGUAAAGCACUUUCAGUGAGGAAGAACGCCUGGUGGUUAAUACCCAUCAGGAAAGACAUCACUCACAGAAGAAGCACCGGCUAACUCCGUGCCAGCAGCCGCGGUAAUACGGAGGGGGCGAGCGUUAAUCGGAAUUACUGGGCGUAAAGCGCGCGUAGGUGGCUUGAUAAGCCGGUUGUGAAAGCCCCGGGCUCAACCUGGGAACGGCAUCCGGAACUGUCAAGCUAGAGUGCAGGAGAGGAAGGUAGAAUUCCCGGUGUAGCGGUGAAAUGCGUAGAGAUCGGGAGGAAUACCAGUGGCGAAGGCGGCCUUCUGGACUGACACUGACACUGAGGUGCGAAAGCGUGGGUAGCAAACAGGAUUAGAUACCCGGGUAGUC